GAGUUUGAUCCUGGCUCAGAGUGAACGCUGGCGGCGUGCCUAACACAUGCAAGUCGAACGUGAAAAGGGGCAACCCUGAGUAAAGUGGCGUACGGGUGAGUAACGCGUAGGUAAUCUACCCCAGAAUCUGGAAUAACCUGCCGAAAGGCGGGCUAAUACUGGAUAGAGCGACGGAAUCCGUAAUUGGGUUUUUCGGGAAAGGGAGGGAGCAAUCCCCUUCGUUUUGGGAUGAGCCUGCGUCUCAUUAGCUAGUUGGUGGGGUAAUGGCCCACCAAGGCAUUGAUGGGUAGCUGGUCUGAGAGGAUGAUCAGCCACACUGGAACUGAAACACGGUCCAGACUCCUACGGGAGGCAGCAGUGGGGAAUCUUGCGCAAUGGACGAAAGCCUGACGCAGCCACGCCGCGUGAGUGAAGAAGGCCUCGGUU
rnacentral:rRNA from 1 species